rnacentral:misc_RNA from 1 species
AAGUCGUAACAAGGUUUCCGUAGGUGAACCUGCGGAAGGAUCAUUACUGAUUUUAGCGAACCUGACUUUUUGGUCAUGGUCUCGCGAAAACUUUGUAUUUAAAACCCCACUCUUAUAAAUUAAAUCAUAUUAUAAUAUAUAAAGAUCACUUUCAACAACGGAUCUCUUGGCUCUC